AUCACCAAAGGGUAAAGGACCAAAAUGUCAUGUUUGUUUUGAUGCGCGGUAUGCGGCGUGUUGAACAAUAACUUGGGAUUUAUCUGUGUGUGUUGUUUUCGAUAUCGUUCGUUGACGAUUUUAAUUGUGAUUUGUUUGUGGUAAUAUGUUAUGAACGGUGCUAACUUAUCGCACAUCUAAAAUGAUUUGUGAUGAAUCGGAAAACCAGUUAGCAAGAAAGCAACAUAUUCGCUAUUUGCUUCGCCAUCUCGAUAUUCUGCCUUCACGGUUAGCAUAUCAUGAUGCUGCUAGACUGACAAUUUUGUUUUUUGCACUCUCCGGAUUGGACGUUUUAAACGCACUAGAUGAAUUGAGUGAAGAAAAAAAGAAACACAUAAUAAAUUGGAUUUACAGCCUUCAGGUCGUACCGCAAGAGACAGACGACAAAGAAAGCUGGAAGCGAUGCGGUUUUCAGGGUUCGUCUACACUAAACUUUUCGCGCGACAGCAGCGAUUGCUCAGGGCCAUAUGUGUGUGGUCAUUUAGCAAUGACAUAUACAGGUCUUGCAGCACUUAUUAUUCUUGGUGACAAUUUGUCUCAAGUGAAUAAGAAAGCAAUUAUUGCUGGUAUAAAGGCUUUGCAACAAGAGGAUGGUAGCUUUUGCGCAACACUUUCCGGCAGUGAAAGUGACAUGAGGUUUGUCUAUUGUGCUGCCUGCAUCUCUUACAUGCUAAAUGAUUGGUCUGGAAUGGAUGUAGAAAAAACUAUCUCGUACAUCUUAGAUAGUAUGUCAUAUGAUGGUGCAAUUGGCCAAGGGCCUGAUCUUGAAAGCCAUGGAGGAACUACAUUUUGUGCUGUUGCUGCCUUGGCUCUGAUGGGUGAGCUUGAUAGAAAAAUUAGUCCCAUUCAGCGUUCAAGAUUGAAGAAAUGGCUUCUGAUGCGUCAGGUGACAGGAUUUCAGGGACGUCCAAAUAAACCCGAUGACACAUGUUAUUCUUUCUGGGUUGGAGCUUCAUUGAAGAUACUUGGGGUUUUUAAUAUGAUCUCAUACAAGCCUAACCGAUUCUACAUACUUUCUACACAAGACAGAAUUGUUGGCGGUUUUUCGAAAUGGAUUGACACAACUUCAGAUCCAAUGCACACUUACUUAGGUCUUUGUGGCCUUAGCCUUAUGGAUGAAGAGCUGCUAUUACCUGUUGAGCCCAGACUUAAUAUCACGCAGCGGGCAUUUGCUACACUUAAGAAGAUUCAUAAAGAGUGGUAGAAUGAGCAGCACAAAUUCUGCUUCAUUAUAUGUGUAUUAGCUGUGCUAGACACAAGGGUACCAAAGUCCAAGUGGUGUUCUUUUUGUAUGAUGAUUGGCAUACUGUAAUUUUUUCAUGAAAAGUGCUUGAAUUUUGAAUUCUAUGGAAAAUUCAGUUGAGAAAACUGUAAAAUUACGAAGUUAAAUCAAGAAAACUUUUGAAAUUAUAAGGAGAUAGAAUAAAUACCUGACCAGAGUUUACCUUCAGAAGGUGAAGUUCAUGUACUCGCUGACAGGAAUAUAUCUCCUUGUAAUAUUAGAGUUACUGUGUUUAUGAAUGAAACUAUAGCACAAAGUGAAAGGUUCACAUAAAUAUAUUACUGUUAUCAAUAACAUACUAUUUUUAAAGUUUUUAUUAUAGGGACCUACAAAAUUGCAUUGGUCAUUUGUAUAAGAAGAAAAAAAGCAAGAAGAAAAAAGCAUAUUUUUGUCUAUUUUAUGAUUUAAGAGUAUUGUGUUGCAUAUGUAACAUUUUCAUGUGGGAUAAACUAUUACAUAGUGCAUAUCUGUGGUGAUACGUAAAUACUAACCUUCCUUCCUUAUUUUCCCUUCACUAGGUUUGGCCUCAUAACUUUAAUAGCCCUUUUCUUGUUGUGUAUUGGACCUGCACUUAGCUCACUUGAGUAGUGUGCAACAAGAAGUUACAGGACACUUAAUUUUUGUGAGAGUUUGUUUUAAAGUGGUUUUUGUAAGCACCAGUGGGACAGAAACAAAAAUUCAAUGAAUGGAUGAUGAGUAUCAGUAAAAAAUCUUAUGGGUGAUCUGAGAUGUUACAACCAUCAGUACAUUAACUGUGCAAAAUGUACAACAAAUUUAUAAUCAUUGAAAUUAAACAUGCUUUAUGCUAAUAUACACUUAUGGACACUGUGCAAUUUCACCAAUAUACACAUUUUAAGUCAUGCUAGUUUCUCUACCUCUAUUAAAAAUUUAACUUUGCCAUUUACUCUCAGUUCUAAGGAAAUUCAUUUGACCUCUCUAUUGAGUAGUUGAACUGAUAGGUCCGUGUAAUGCCAAGAUUUGGUACUGAAGAGUUUACUCUAUAUGUGUAUGAAGCACCUACACCUUUUUGUGUAGAUGAUAGGGCGUAUUUUCAUAUUUGUUUCUGAUAUUGUACUUUGGACAUGUCCUACUGUUGGCAGCUGUGAUAGUUCCUCUCGGUGAGUGUCUCACAGUGCAGAACAAAUAAUGAUGACAGUCAUAAUUCUAAGUUUUCAAAAGAUGGGCUUAUGAAGAGGUUCAGAUGCCAUGUUGCAUAUUGUUCCCACACCCACAUUUUAUAAUUGAAAACAUUGACUGCAGCUAUUUGGUAACACCAUGCCUAUACAGUGAUAAUUUAUCCAUUUUGCUGUCUGCUGAGCUCUGUGCCAGUAUGGAGUAUGAUAUUUUAUUAUUUUAAGAUAAUAAGAAUAGCUACACAAUGAUAGUUAUCUUUAUUCCUUUCAUUAUUUGUAUUCCAAGACUCUCCAGCAUCAUAUCUGUCUAUUACUUAUGUUAUUUUGGUUUGUUUGUCAUCUCUUGUGUCAAACCAGCAUUGUAUAAAAUUUGUAACUCAUAUGAGAUUUAAAACCAACAGUGGACAUACACAAAUAGCUUACCAUAAAAACUGAACAAUAUAAUUCUACCAUGUUUGCACAGUUUCUCCUUUCUUCUGCUGAAUUAAAUAUGCCGUAAAGUAGAUGCAAAAUGUUUCUAUGAUGUCACCCAAUUUGACAUAUUAUUGGCGACUGAAACUCAAAUGCUGUGGUUAUGUAAGUGAAGACUUUAUCUUGUUAUUUAGUGACAAAUGUGGAGCUUAUAUUAUAGAACUAGAAGUUCUGUAAUUUGGAAAAGUUUGGGGGAGUGAGGCCACUCAGAGAGUAUGAAAAAGCAGUUGCUGGUUGUCCACUCCUUUUCUUCUCCUAUGUACCUCUCGAUUUCCUACUUAGGUCCUGAACAGUCCUUUUCCUUAUUACAUAUGGUAAUGAAAUCUCCUUGGUAUAAAUAAUAGAGUGUGUAAGUUAACUACUCAUCAUAUUGUUGAGCCAUUCAGUGCUCAAUAGGCACAUAAACAAAAUGGAAAACAUUUCUAAGCUUGUGGAUGAGUCCUCAUACAGAGCUGACUGAACACACACACACACACACACACACACACACACACACACACAGCACACCUGCAUUGGCAGUUUCUGGUUACAAUUUCAUAAGGGAGAUUCCUUAGGAAGACUUCAUCCGAUACCUUUAAUGAGAUUAAAAAAAAGUACACUUCCUUCCAUAUGUCAGUUUAGACACAACUUUCAUCAUCUGUAGUAACUGUAACAUAGAUUUCAGGUUUAAAAAGCAUGCACAUAUAGUUUCAUACUUACAAAUAUGAAGUCCCUGAACAUUUGUAUAUGACACCAGAUGAUAGCCUGCUUCUCAAUGAACCCAAAUUCUGGUACACACCUUUACUGCCAUCACAUUCUUUUCCUUUCUUCUGUUUUUUAUAACUGUGUUGUUUACUGGUAACUAAAUACGCAUCAUGCUUGUAAUAGAACAUUAUAAUAUGUAUGCGAAGGUCAGCAUAUCAUGGUAUGUGGUAUUCACAUUACAGACAAAAUAACUUUUUAUUUGAAAUUUAAAAAAGUGCCUUUUGUUCAACAAAAUGCAGACUUUUUUUCUGCCUUCAGUCAUCUGCACACCAACAUAUAUUAUGUAUUUUCUUCCAAUCAGUCCAAAAGAUGAACAAAGCUAUUCAUAAUGGCUACAGUUUGUCUCCCAUCCCUUACUGUAAAUCAGAAACCUAAGUAAGAUAUGCCUGCAUGUGAAAUUAAAACCGAAAGUAAAAUUAAAUAACCAUUAAAAGUGAGUCGUGUUUGUGGGAGCUAUUUCUUUCAUUUUUAUCUAUUUUAAAUUUACACUUUUGCAGUUAGAAAGAUACUCUUAAUCUGAAGAUGUAUUGCCAUUAGUAUCUUUCCAUAUGUACAUAUAAACAAUACUCAAUUUUGUUAAUUAUUUUCAGUGCAUACACUAUCUGGCUAAUACCUUAGAUUUCAAAAACUAUUGUCAAACUAUGGACUCAGGGCAACUACAUCAAAUUUUCAGUUUCCUAAUAAAAUUUCGCAAGAAUGUGAAUUACUACUAUUCCUGCUGUUAUCAAUUAAAGAACUCUGUGUGCCCUCAUUUACUUUGAGUUGGUUGGUACAACAGUUAAAAAGUGUGAGGUGCUGAUAUAUGUAUAGAACACACAUUCAUUUAUUUCACAUGCCUGUUUGCCCUUCUUGUUUAUUUGUGGUCCGUAAUUUCUCUGGUGUUGAAUUUUAAUCUACAUAAGUGGAAUGCCACAUACAACCAUCGUAAGUAGAAUACCUAUUUCUUUCAACAUACUGUUUGUAACAGAUACACAUUCACAGUGUGCUGCAAUGCAGAUGACAUCCACAACAACCUGUCCAUGUAAUAGCAGGUGUGUGUCAUGAAAAUUUGUAUGUAUUAUUUCGUCUUGCUUUCCAAUAUGCUUGACCUAUUUAAUAUUGAAAUUGCCAGAACUUGUUUGUGUCCUGACUUCAGAUAUUCAGAAGAAUAAUGAAAGUGAUAUAUCAGAAGGAUUUUACAUAAUAACUGGUAAUUAAAAAAGGAAUCACAGUUCUGACACUGCAAAUCAAUCACCACAGAAAUGUUUCAAAGUAUCCCUGUCCCAGCCUGUUGUAAUUGUGGUGAACCUUUCAGUUACCAUUCAGCUGAUUAAGUUUUUGACUGAUGGCAAAUGAAUGUGCAAACAAGUUAAUAAAAUUGAGAAGUAUUGUAUUUAUGGGUUAAAUGUUUAAUUUAAUAGUUCACUUUAUCUGGUUGAUGUACCAAAUAAUGUUAUUUACUCUACCAGGAUCCAAAUACAGUUGGUUUCUUUGCCUUAAUUUUUUCUAUUUUAAUUUCAUUUCUUUUUUAUUGUGUUGUGCUGUCAUUAAAUUCACUGUCACAGUUUGAUGUAUGUCAAAUCAAAAUCACAUUUUAGUUUGUCACUUCACAAUAAUUAUUCUCUUAUAAGAUACAGUAUGUUUACUGUUGAAUCAACAUUAAAAAUGGUGUGUGUUACUGCCAAAAAAGGAAAAGGAGGAAGAAACAAAGAUCAGGGAAUAUCUUAAAUAGUUGAAGUUACACAAUUUGUAGUUUUGUUUCUGAGAAGUAAACUGAGGAUUCUUGUUUAAAGGGUUUCGUUCUUGUAUCAUUCAAAAUCAUGUGAGGUACGAUGAAGUGCAAGAUCAUUAACAUGAACUGUUUGUUACUGUACAUUUGUUUUUUUUUUCAAUUAUUAGUGUCACCAAAAUAGUAUUUCAAAUGAUGCAAAUAAGAUUUGUUUAAGAAAUUGUCUGUGGCCUCAAAUCACAGAACACCAAUAUAGCCAUAGUGAUUAUGAUCUAGAUAUUUUGUCAUUUACAGUAAUACUGAGAAGAAAAAUAAAUUUUAAUGUCAACAAAUGACUGACUGGGGGUGCCUAUAUAACAUAUGCCUGGAGCUUAUAGUCAAAACACCAAAAUGUGAUGCUUCCAUAUAAUACUUGUAAUAUGAUUGUUAAUAUUGUUAUCUGAAAUCCAUAAAAUUUUACAAUUUGCCUUAUAUAAGAGCAAUUUUACACAUGAAUGAAACACCAUCAGCUGUAAGUCUUACCUGUAGAUCAUUUCUUCCUUUUGAAAGAUUUUGUACCAGAGAAUAAAAUGUAAUGUGUAUUCAGUUA
rnacentral:misc_RNA from 1 species